UUCUCAACGAAUCGGCGUCUCUCUAUGUGGUUCUUGUCGACGAAGUAAAACGGCGUCCCCUCUAUCGGUUGCUCUUCUAGACGAAGGAUAACAGCGAGAUCUCUCUCGUGGAGGCUCUCGGAAACGAAGGAAAACAGUGACUCGAAAGGUAAAGAUGAGUUCAUAUGUUUUAAUGUUUGAAUAUUUCAAUUAUGCAUGUCUUUGAUUGAGCUCUUUCAUCGUGAAUCUUAAGAAGUCCAGUCCUCUGAUUUGUUUUGAUAUUUUUUUUCUGUUUUUGUGUCUUGCGAGUGAUUGAGAAAGAGGCGCGAUCGAGGAUAAACCUUUCUCUUUGUCAGACAAAACCCCACACUUCUUGUUCAUAAAGACAUAGUGAAGCAGGAGGCUGAGUAAUGGCGAUCGAGAGUAUAGUAAAAGAAGAUUCCAGAAAAUGGAUAGAGAAAUUAUAGCAAGAGUGGAAGAAGACGAUCAUAGUGCUCUUGUGUUUGAAAUUCAUGUUUAUUCUCUGAGUUUCUUCAUCGUCUUCUCCUCUUAUUUUUUUUCUCUCUCUCACGUUAAUAAACAGGGAAAAUUUAUUAUUCUAAGAGCAUGAUUAUCGGCUGGGACAUUUUUUGGUCCUUAAAUUUUUUUGUUUUUCUUAUCAAAAAAAUAAUAAUAAUAAAUAAGAACCAAUUGCGGGUCGCCACGUGUCAGUGGAGUCUGCAAACAGUGUUGGACAAUCCUUGGGCCGUUACUUAAUUAGGGACAUUUGAGCAAAGUUUCUAGCAAAAAAGUAGUGGGCCCUACACUAAAAACACUAAGGACCAAUGUUAGGACUACCAAUAAUAAGGUUGUUCUAACCAUCUUUACAUGCAUUCUUCAGUUUCUUGUCUUCUCAAAAAAUCUAGGUUAACAAAUCUCUGUCUCUAGCUUUCAAGAAAAAAAUAUGUCUAUCUCUCAGUGUAUUCUUCUAACAAUAUUAGAUGUUUACAAUCUAUUUUCUCUCUGGUGAAUUAUCAUAAUGAUUUAAGCUCAUCAUCAAUUCAUCAUCAAUCUUCUCAAUAGUUUUUUCACUUGUAAUGUUCUUAUGCAUCAAGUUCUAGGAGUCUUGUGAAGUACGAUGGCUGCCGUGAAUGAUUUGGAUCUUCUUGUUGAGACGAAAAUGUUGUUCGUGUGUUGGUUACACUGGUAAGAUACAAGGUUGCAGUGAUUCUAGCUGACUUACAAUUUGGUCAACGUAAGAGAAACUUGCUGUUGUAACAAGUACAAAAUCAUAGGAAAAACGAACAUCACUUUCUGCAGAAUAUACCUUUCGCUUGAGACUUUUGUUUCUUGGAAGCAAACUCGACUUUCUUUGCCUUAUUGUCGUUUAUGGUUUUCUUGAUUAUUUCUGUACUAUCCUGAAAAGAAUCACCAAAACUCCUUUUUAGAGUCAUGUCUCAAAAGAUGGAUACAGUUAAAUGUUUUGGCAAAAUAAAACUAACCGUAGAGCAGCUUUCUGGCUGCAUCACGAACAUCAUACUUUCCUGCUCGCUUUUUUUGAAUGAUCUCCAAACUAUCGCCGCCAUCGAUUGACCUCUAGAGUAUGAUUCUUGGUUGCACGUCUACUCUUUUUUCAAGCCUCUUGAUAGUAGUUAUUAGUAAUGAGCGUAUCGUUACAAAACAUGUGUGAUAAAAAAACAAAUGAAUUGGUAAAGAGACCCAUAAGCAAAAAAGUGUAGACAAACAAAUAUUAUCUUUUAAAAUUUUUAGAAAAUAUCAUUACCAAAUCACCUAUAGAUUUCAUUUUUCAUUUUUUAAGUUUUACUAAAAUCACUCAGAUAGUCAGCUCUGAACGAAGAUCUAACUUGCAUGUAAAGAAUUAUAUUUAAUUUUUAAACUUACAUGUAAGCUUUUUAAUCGCUCAGCUAGUCAGCUCACCUAUAGAUUUAGAGACACUUUUUCACUUUCUCUUACACCUAGAGACACUUCAUACAUGUGACACACUUUAUUGUGGGCCAGUGAUAGAUAGUGGACAAUUUUAUCACCCUUAAUAGAAACGAUAAUUGUGGACGGGUGAUGCGUGGAUGCGUGAUUUAUGGACGGAGUAUACAUGGAUGAGUGAUGUGUGGAUGAGUGAUUAUAUGUGGACAGGCGAUGUUAAUGUGUGGACAAACGAUGUUAAUGUGUGGGCAUAUGAUGUUAAUGUGUUUUAUAGUAGAUAACUCUCAUCAAAAGAAAAUUUUUAAAGGUAUCAACCAACGGCCUUCGUGUUAAAAAUGUUCACGUCCACAACUAAUUUAUAAUUAUAUUAUUCACGCUCUGGUAUCCACAUCCACAUUCACAUUCAAAUUUGUUAAUAUAUAUAUAAUAUAUAUAUGAAAAUGGAUCUUAAAAGAUAGAUAAUUUUAUAUAUAAUUUAUUGUAACAAUUAUUUUUGUUUAAUAUAUUUUAGAAUUUGAGAUAAAUGUAAAUGAAAUCAUAAAGUGAAAUGAGAAAAACAAUAAAGUAGAAUAAGAAGAGGAGAAAGAUUAGUGUGAUACAUAAGAAAGAAAGAGGUUAUAUGAGUCAUUUUCACAAGAAAAAAGUGUGUCUCAAGUGUGAAGUGUCUUGUAAUAUAAUUAGAAAGUGAGAAAGUGUUUCUAAGUGUAAAAAAUUGAAACGGUUUUGGUUACACAUUGCUUGCUUUGUUUCUUCUGCUGGUCGUUUCUCUCGCUGGUACGUAAAGUAUCUUGUUUAGUUCUUGUUUAGCUCUUUUAGUUGUGUUCCUGUUUAAAAAUUAAAGGUAGUAGACUUCAAGUGAAAAAAAAAUUAGGGCUAAUAGACUUCAAGUGAAAAUCAAAUUUAGUUACAAGAUUCAAAUAAAAACAGAUCCAAAUGAAAAUAAACAUAGACAUCCUUUAUAAAAAAAACCACAAGUGACAACAUAAACAUCGCACUGAAACACAAAACAUAAGACAUAGCCCAUCCGGAUAUCCACAAGUAUGGCUCUGAUGUAGCCUUAUUCAUAGGGAAAUCAAGAAAUGAACCCAA